rnacentral:rRNA from 1 species
UACGUAGGGUGCAAGCGUUGUCCGGAAUUAUUGGGCGUAAAGAGCUCGUAGGCGGUUUGUUGCGUCGGCUGUGAAAUCCCGAGGCUCAACCUCGGGUCUGCAGUCGAUACGAGCAAACUAGAGUGUUGCAGGGGAGACUGGAAUUCCUGGUGUAGCGGUGAAAUGCGCAGAUAUCAGGAGGAACACCGGUGGCGAAGGCGGGGUCUCUGGGGCCG